rnacentral:lncRNA from 1 species
GUGGAGGGUGCUGAGGUGGGGGGUAAUAAGGCCCCUGCGGCGGUGGCGGAGGUGGUGGAUGUCCAUGGCCCCAAGGGGGAGGAGGGUACACAUCUGGUGGUGGUGGCCGAGGAUACCCUGAAAUUGCAGUGAGAUAAACUAUGGCAUCACGACUUGAAGACUCAUUUCACAAGAUCUCUCGCAUGGCAUAGGUAGCUCGCAAGAACGACAGUGGUGCAACUACAGAAACAAGAUUAGCAAUAGCAGAGCUGAUCCUUCCCAGCAGGCUGGGCGAGAAGAUGCAUGGUUUGAAAGAUUGAGCAUGAACCGUGACAAACAAGAACAGUUGACGACUAAUACAAUACUUGAUGAAUUUUGUUCUUGUGACGACCUUGAAUAGCAGAGGGAUCAGAUCAAUCAGACCAGUCUAGUGAUCGAAUCAGAUACUAAUUAAGUUACGUGCUAGAAAUUAAAGGAGAUGAGGAGAAGAUGGGGGGUGAAGAAAUUGCGUGCCUGGAGGAGGGUAGGGUUCCUCGGGAGGGACUUUCUGGUAGCUCAUUUCUCUUUUCCCCUUUCUUCCUCUUGUGAACUUCUUGCUUAUUACGAGAUGUUUGUGUCU